rnacentral:rRNA from 2 species
UACGAAGGGGGCUAGCGUUGCUCGGAAUUACUGGGCGUAAAGGGCGCGUAGGCGGAUGUUUAAGUCAGAGGUGAAAGCCCAGGGCUCAACCUUGGAACUGCCUUUGAUACUGGGCAUCUUGAGUAUGGGAGAGGUGAGUGGAACUCCGAGUGUAGAGGUGAAAUUCGUAGAUAUUCGGAAGAACACCAGUGGCGAAGGCGACUCACUGGCCCAUUACUGACGCUGAGGCGCGAAAGCGUGGGGAGCAAACAGG